rnacentral:rRNA from 1 species
CCAUUCUAAGCGGUGGAUCACUAAGGCUCGCGGGUCGAUGAAGAACGGGGCCAGCCCCGAGAAUAAGUGCGAAUUGCAGACACAAAGAGCAUCGACUUUUCGAACGCACAUUGCGGUAUCGGGCCUACUCGAUACCACGCCUAUGCUGAGGGUCGAA